rnacentral:tRNA from 1 species
GCGGCGGACCGGCGCAGGCUGCCGGGGACGAUUCCGGCGUCCUCGAGCGCCUCCCAGCUCAGUUCCAUGACGAGCCGCUGCU